UACGAAGGGGGCUAGCGUUGCUCGGAAUCACUGGGCGUAAAGCGCACGUAGGCGGGUCCUUAAGUCGGGGGUGAAAUCCUGGAGCUCAACUCCAGAACUGCCUUCGAUACUGAGGAUCUCGAGUCCGGGAGAGGUGAGUGGAACUCCGAGUGUAGAGGUGAAAUUCGUAGAUAUUCGGAAGAACACCAGUGGCGAAGGCGGCUCACUGGCCCGGUACUGACGCUGAGGUGCGAAAGCGUGGGGAGCAAACAGG
rnacentral:rRNA from 2 species